rnacentral:rRNA from 1 species
UUUUUAUUGAGAGUUUGAUCCUGGCUCAGGACGAACGCUGGCGGCGUGCUUAACACAUGCAAGUCGAGCGAUGAAGUUCCUUCGGGAAUGGAUUAGCGGCGGACGGGUGAGUAACACGUGGGUAACCUGCCUCAUAGAGGGGAAUAGCCUUUCGAAAGGAAGAUUAAUACCGCAUAAGAUUGUAGUACCGCAUGGCAUAGCAAUUAAAGGAGUAAUCCGCUAUGAGAUGGACCCGCGUCGCAUUAGCUAGUUGGUGAGGUAACGGCUCACCAAGGCGACGAUGCGUAGCCGACCUGAGAGGGUGAUCGGCCACAUUG